rnacentral:rRNA from 1 species
GAUGAACGCUGGCGGCGUGCCUAAUACAUGCAAGUCGAGCGAACGGACGAGAAGCUUGCUUCUCUGAUGUUAGCGGCGGACGGGUGAGUAACACGUGGAUAACCUACCUAUAAGACUGGGAUAACUUCGGGAAACCGGAGCUAGUACCGGAUAAUAUUUUGAACCGCAUGGUUCAAAAGUGAAAGACGGUCUUGCUGUCACUUAUAGAUGGAUCCGCGCUGCAUUAGCUAGUUGGUAAGGUAACGGCUUACCAAGGCAACGAUGCAUAGCCGACCUGAGAGGGUGAUCGGCCACACUGGAACUGAGACACGGUCCAGACGACUACGGGAGGCAGCAGUAGGGAAUCUUCCGCAAUGGGCGAAAGCCUGACGGAGCAACGCCGCGUGAGUGAUGAAGAUCUUCGGAUCGUAAAAAUCUGUUAUGAGGGAAGAACAUAUGUGGAAGGAACUGUGCACAUCUUGACGGUACCUAAUCAGAAAGCCACGGCUAACUACGUG